rnacentral:rRNA from 1 species
ACGGGUGAGUAACACGUAGUUGACCUACCCUGGAGAGGGGGAUAACGUUCCGAAAGGGAUGCUAAUACCCCAUAAGCACACAGAGGUUAGAGGCUCAGGGUGAAAAGGGCUACCGCAAGGUAGACCGCUUCAGGAGGGGACUGCGGCCCAUCAGCUCGUUGGUGAGGUAGCGGCUCACCAAGGCGAAGACGGGUAGGGGGCCUGAGAGGGUGGUCCCCCACACGGGCACUGAGAGACGGGCCCGACUCCUACGGGAGGCAGCAGUAAGGGAUAUUGCACAAUGGGCGCAAGCCUGAUGCAGCAACGCCGCGUGCGCGAAGAAGGCCUUCGGGUCGUAAAGCGCUUUUCGGGGAGACGAGGAAGGACGGUACCCCCGGAAAAAGUGUCGGCUAACUACGUGCCAGCAGCCGCGGUAAAACGUAGGACGCGAGCGUUAUCCGGAGUUACUGGGCGUAAAGGGCGGGUAGGCGGCUUAUCAAGUUGGGUGUGAAAUCUCCUGGCUAAACUGGGAGGGGGCAUUCGAAACUGAUAAGCUGGAGGACAGCAGAGGGUCGCGGAAUUCCGGGUGGAGUGGUGAAAUGC